rnacentral:sRNA from 1 species
UUAAACAUAACCAGUGGAAGUUCGAUGCCACCUCAACAGAAAUUUAUAGGUGGUGUAUUAGAAUUUGGAAAAAAUGUCAAUUAAUCCUCCAAUUUUCAAAAAAUGGCCAUUUUAUACAUCAACUUCGUAUGCGGCCGUUUAAAACAUGAACUAAACGUUGACUAAUUUUUAAAACAUGAUCAUUCGUUAACCAGGCCAAAACAGACAUGCCGUUAUCAGUCAUUAACGGAACUUUUAACGUCCGUUAUCAUCCGUUAACGACUUUAUUAGUCAAGUUUCAAAUUGUGGCCAUUUUAAAUAUCAACUUCAUAUGUGGCCAUUUAAAACAUGAACUAAACGUUGACUGCCAAUUAAGACAUGAAAAAUUCAUUGACCAGGCCAAAAUAAACAUGUUGUUAUCAUUCAUUAAAAGAACUUAUAACAUUCCUUAUCACUUGUUAACGACUCUAUUAGUAUCCCUAAAACGAUUUUGUUUUGAGAAUAAUCAAAAGAAAAUCAGGAUUGUUUUCUAAAUGAAAAUCCCAACUCUCCAAAUCUAUUUCUACAACCGCCCAAACAAGAUGAACAAUCUUAUAAUGGGUCUUUAAUUUGCUUCCAUGAUUCCUUUUAAAAUUUAAAACAAAUAUAUAAACGAAAACACCUUUAUUUGCUUCCAAUUACUGGCACUGCGAUUAUCUCUAUAUCAAACUAUGUUCUUGGGUUCUGCUUAAAACUUUUUGAUAUGGAGAUUUCAUAUGGGAUUUUUUUUAUGUUCUUUCGAUUAUUCUCAAACGACGUCGUUUUGGACAGAUUAACAGUCAUUAACGGGUAAUAACGGGUUUCUAGGUUCUACUGAUAAAGACAUGUCUAUUUUGGCCUGGUCAAUGAAUUUUUCAUGUCUUAAAUGGCAGUCAACGUUUAGUUCAUGUUUUAAAUGGCCACAUAUGAAGUUGAUGUUUAAAAUGGCCACAAUUUGAAACUUGACUAAUAAAGUUAACGGAUGAUAACGGACGUUAGAAGUUUCGUUAAUGACUGAUAACGGCAUGUCUGUUUUGGCCUGCUCAACUAAUGAUCAUGUUUUAAAAAUUAGUCAACGUUUAGUUCAUGUUUUAAACGGCCGCAUAUGAAGUUGAUGUAUAAAAUGACCAUUUUUUGAAAGUUGGAGGAUUAAAUGACAUUUUUCCCAUUAGAAUUUAGAAUUAGUAUGACACAUGCAAAGUUUACCGAUUAUUUACCGGUUUUCAUUUU